ACAUGACCAGACACCCAUCGGUUGAUUCUUCACCGAGUGACAGUGGAUCCUCCCCAAGUGACACCGGGUCAAGUCCGUCUCCAAGUACUCCUCAGAAACUCCUCCCAGCAUGUACCUCUCCUUUUGGCCCAGGUUAGUUACUGUGACCCAUAGGUCCUCAGAGAUACCCCGCCCACAGCCUGAGGGUUCAGACCGACGCCCCGUGCCCAGACUGUCCGGGAAGUUAGGAGGCCAUGGACCGUGUGGGCGCCACAUCCCCGUGAAGAUGGAGAGAAUUAAGGUCCUUACUGGUUCAGAAGUGGAAAGCGACUAUCAAGAACCACAGAACAUGGACACAAGGGUGGUGAUGGGUCAGGAGUCAUUGCUCAAAAAUACAGAGAAGCAAAAAGAAACGCCUCAAAAUGCAGUUCAUCACCAAGUUGUUCCUGUAGGUCGUUCCCAUGAAACAGAAACUCACACUGAGACAAACACAACUGAAAGCCAAAAUCAGUCACACCAAAACACAAGUGAUCUGCAUCCUCCUACUACUUUCCCUUCCCCGUUGCUCACCCCUCUCCUUCCUGCCCCCUCAUCGUCCCCUGAGAACGAUGCCCCAGAUGACAGUUUGGCUGAACAGGGUCACUCUCCAGACGAAGUGCCUUCCGUAAAUUUCUCUGAGCUCGUCUGCCCCGUCACAUUAUCCUUCUCUGAACCGGUCUUUGCGGUGGACCCUUUACGAGUGGGCGUGCCCUCCUCCCGAGACCCUGACUUGUACUACACCGCUCCGUCAACCCCGACCAAAAUGCGCUCUUCGCACCUCAAGCACCACUCGUACCCGGGGUCUCCAUCCUACCCGCUCUCCCCUGGUUCCCCUUCUGAUAGUGAGGACCUAUGCUCCCCCCUUACCUCUUCCUCUGGUUCUUAUAUGACUGCAGAAGGAGAUAGCCAUGGAUCAUCCUACACUUCCUCCACCUCUCCUUCAACUUCACCCAAUCUUCUCCUCACUGAGGAAUCCCAAGAGGCACCUGCUUGCUUCGUUGGAUCCUUAUCGGAAAUAGGAGACGAAGAUGCUGAGGAUAAAGUCCGUUCUAUGCCGGACAGAGAAAGCAAAAUUGGGGAUUUCUUUCUUUGCAGGUCUGAAGAGAGUGCCUUUAUUUCAGAUAUAACCAGAACGGCCAUUUUGGAGGAGGAAGAGGCUCACGCUGAGGAAGAGGUUAAGGUUUCGAGAGAAAGUUGCCGUCCAAGUUGGGUGACUGAAGAUAUAUCCCCUCUAAGAAGCAGCAGUAGUCGGAGUAGUGACUCCCAGGAUGAUGCAGGUGAGUGUGAAAUUGAAAUGUCCAGGAUGGGAUCAGCUGACUAUUCAAGAUCCUUAGGCUUGAAACUACAACUAGAAGCGUGUCUAUCAGAAGAACCAUAUGAACAGAAAGACCCUGAUCUAGCAUCUUUAGCACUGACCCCCGAAACAAUAACUUCAACCAACCUCAGCCCUGACUCCCCAACCAUCUCACUGGACGCCUUCGAAAGACUUAGUUCCGGUCUGUCCAUGCUUUCCCAGGCCGCUUGCGCCAACAACAUUUUGGAUGAAGAUCAAAUGAUUCCCGCCUCCCUUCUUGGGUUCCCGCCUCACACCAAUUUCAUCUUCAGGGCGGAUUCAAUGGAGAUCACUCUUUUCCCAACAGAGGAGGAAACAGAAGACAUCAACGAGGAGAAAGACGCUUACGCAGCCGGCGAGGAGGAGGCAGACAUUGAAGAUGAUGAGGAGGACGAUGAAGAGUAUGUUAUUGAAAGUAAUGAUCUGAACAACGGUCUUAUUGAAGAAGUGAAUGUAGAAGUGGAAGUGGUGGAGGAGGCAGUUGAAGGCGCCAAAGAUGGUGUUGACUCUGAGGAAGAGGACGAAGAAGACUCAGACAGCAAAGGACAUGACUAUCCAACAGAUGAGGACAGUUCCUUUCUCCACUCGCUUUCGGAAACGUCUUUAAACGAAGGCUUGGACGAGUCUUUCUGUUACCAAGACGAUACUGAUGACUCACUCGAUUCAGCUUCUUUCAAUGGAGAUGAGGAGGAAUACAGCAAGGAACAGCACGCACAGGCAGCGGAACCUACAGCAACUCAAGAAGGAGACCCCAAUCUCCCUACAGAGGAAGUUGUGGAGCCUGCUGCCGCCUCAUGUUGUCAACAAGUAGAGUGUUUAAGCAACUCUGAUCUUGACAAGAAAGAAGAAUGUGCAAUUGAUGUUGAAAAUAAAGAGGACAAACAGAAAAUGCAUCACAAUCAUUAA
rnacentral:lncRNA from 1 species